ACAUUGCGAGACCAAAGGAUAGUAAUCGACUCUCAUGGUGAAUGUGACCUUAUCAUUGGAACACCAUUGAUGACAUUUCAAGUAAUGAAAGCUCUUGCUAAUAUGACUGAAAAACUAAUACGAGAUUCAAAUGACAACGUUAAGUAUGACAGCAGUGUGUGGUGUUACAAGGAAAGAAUCAUUGUUGCACAGGAGAAAUGGUUUAUGUGUCGGUAUAUCCUUUGUCCUUUUGAGGCUUUAGCCUACAGAUGCUGUGGAUGGGAUAAAAAUAAACCUGGAAAUGAGCAUAAAAUUAAGUGCAAAACAACCAAACAACAGCUAAAAUGGUUUUUCCCAUUUAUUCUUGGAUCUCUCGCCUUCGUUUAUUCUCCAAUUUUUGUGUUUGGAAUUGUAGGGUUUUUGCAUAGAAAGUGUUCAUCAAACAAGAGAAAGCUUCUGAAAGUGGGUCGAGGUGUUUCUGUGGAGUAUGGAACUUUUCCAAAUCUGGCAUAUCCUUGUAUAAAUGACGAAGAGACUCUUACAGGAGACUUUCAUACAGAGGAAGACGUUAUCUUUUACAAUCCAAUGAAAUUAGGGUCUAUCUUUGAAUGCUUUAAACGCAAUACCUGCAGGGUGCCCAAAACGUUUUUCAGAUGUCUGUUCCUACUUGCUUGUUUAUCAGUCCUCGUAAUAAAACUGCUUAUUUAUAAUUACAUGGUUAAGGAGUUUGUGGUUGAGAGCGUAAGACAAACGGUGCCAAUGGGAUUUUUGUCGAUUCUAGCAAAAACCAAGCUACAAAGACAUAAUUAUCUGCCAUGGUUUUACGGUCCAGUACCUGCACUGGUUCUCUUUGUUCUAUCUUCUCUUCUGUUUAUCUGUCUUCCGCAUGAUUUAGCUGCAUUUCUGUCCAACGGAUUGCUUGAAGAGAACAACGGAAUAUCCAUCUCUCCACUCACAAGUGACAUUAAAAUCAAAACUAAGUACGGAUCGUUGCCCUCUGUGUAUCAUGUAAAUGGUUACAAGAAAAUGAAAUUGAUAAUGACGUCACAAAUAUUGAUGCUGUUGAACAUGAAAUUUUGGAAAUACUGCUUGCUUAUUUAUAGAGCCAGGUGGUAUUCUUUUCUCAAAAGAAAAUACGGAUUAUCAUAUGCAUUAUGUCUUCUGAUUUUCCCUAUUUAUUUUAUAGUAUGUUUAGUUGAAAUGCUGCUUUGUUUGCUCUAUUUUGGGUGUCCAGUCCUUUUUUUCUUUGUCACUUGCAUCAGGGCUUACUGCGGAUCUGUUUUAACAAUCUAUUCUCAGCGAUUCCCAGUGUUCAAAAUCUUUAAACUUGUUCUUACCGUCAUUGUGUUCGCAUUCUUACUGGUUCUCCUUUACUUGUUCAGUAUCAUAUUCGUUGAUAGUUUCAUUUUUAUCUCUCAGGUUCUAACAUACACUUACACAGGACUUUUCGCGAAUCCGGAUUUUUCGUACGGAUAUAUCAUCUUAGCCAUUACUGUAGCCAUGUACAUCUUUGAGAGCAUCAACUCAAUACAUUCAACAUAUGAUGACCUUUUUAUCGAUGUUAAAAUUGUCUGUAUAAAACUUGAAGAGGAAAAGAAAUACCCGGAAAUGCAGUUAACUUACUCAUUUGAUGAAUUCAUUGGCAUUUCCAGAAAGCUGUUUUACUACGUCAUUCAAACUACAAGACCAUUCAGAAAAGAAAUCUUUGUUUCCCUUUUGAAGAUAGGUCUGAUCGCUUCGGUCCUGUAUGUCUCCGUGGUUCUGUUGUCAGAUUUCCAAGAUUUCAGACGUAUGUCGGACCUCAUGCAAACCGCUGUGACUAUAUUCCUGUGCCUACUUCCUAAGAUCAUCAAGAGCGUGUGUCAAGUCAACGAAACUAAAUGGAUGAUGCACAGGUCUUUGGAACUGAAGAAUGCCGUGCACUAUUACUGCAGAAGAGAAAUGAAAAAGAAACGAGAGAGCAAUCUGUAAAAUUUGAAAUUGUUGAUAACAGAAUAUACUAGUAUACUUACAUUUUGAAAUUAAAAUGUUCAAAGCUAUAUCUAAGUAUAUUAUUUGAAGAAAAAACUGCAAAAUAUCUUACUAGUUUCCUAUUUCCUGUGUAUGACAUUUGUGUUUUCUGAUAGGGCUUUCCUUUUUAUCACAUCUGUCAAUACAUAAUUGACAUAAUAUGGCACUACAAUGUACAUAGGCACUUUAUAUUUAAAUGUUUAAACUAUUUAUCGAUGUAUAAAGAAAAAUUAAUAAAUUAAUAUCAACAACUUU
rnacentral:misc_RNA from 1 species